rnacentral:rRNA from 1 species
CCUACGGGACGCACCAGUGGGGAAUAUUGCGCAAUGGGCGAAAGCCUGACGCAGCAACGCCGCGUGAGUGAUGAAGGCCUUCGGGUCGUAAAGCUCUGUCGGAGGGAACGAAUGCUCUUGAGGUUAACAGCCUCGAGAAGUGACGGUACCCUCAAAGGAAGCACCGGCUAACUCCGUGCCAGCAGCCGCGGUAAUACGGAGGGUGCGAGCGUUAUCCGGAAUUACUGGGUUUAAAGGGUGCGUAGGCGGCCAGGUAAGUCAGGAGUGAAAGUUUGCGGCUCAACCGUAAAAUUGCUUUUGAUACUGCCGGGCUAGAAUUAGGAUGAGGUCAGCGGAAUGUGGCAUGUAGCGGUGAAAUGCAUAGAUAUGCCAUAGAACACCAAUUGCGAAGGCAGCUGGCUAGACCUGGAUUGACGCUGAGGCACGAAAGCGUGGGGAGCGAACAGGAUUAGAUACCCGAGUAGUC